rnacentral:tRNA from 1 species
GGCAGUGUGUCUUAGUGGAAAGAGACAGACUUGGGAGUCAGAAGGACAUGGGUUCUAAUCCCAGCUCUGCCA